ACACCGACUCACCUCCGCGCACUCUGACCCCGACCGACGCGGCGGACGGGCGGGCGCUGUGGCCAACCGCUGAGCUCGCUGCCGGACCCUUUAACCAAUAAGCUGCAACGGGGCGGGGCUUCUUCUCCCCAAAUGCUCGCUCUCCCGCCGACAUGCGCGCUAAGGAGGCUGAGGCAGGAGAAUCGAUUGAACCCCGGAGGCAGAGGUUGCAAUGAGCCAAGAUCACACCACUGCACUCCAGCCUGGCAACAAAGUGAGACUGUCUCAAAAAAAUAAAAGAUGUCAUUUCUGGGCCUACCACAUCUGAGAUCGGACCUUAAGAUCCUCAAGGAACAGGACUGUGUCUUAUCUUCAUAUUCCAUGUGCAUGUAGUUGAUGAAUAACUGAAGACAGCUUCUUUGAGCCUGUUUCCUCAACUAUAAAAUGGAGGGAGUAGCUAUAUCACCAAUAUAGUGAAGAAAGUGCUACCAGCAUAAGGUAGGUAUUUGGUGAGUAAAGUUUCCUUCAU